UCUUUGGGUUCCCUUCUCUCUCUAUCACCAUUUUCAGCUUUUCCUUAUUUUGGAGCCUAGGUUUUUUCUCUCUCCCACGCCUUUGUUGUUCUCGCUAUCCGUCCUUCGCGUCUUUGUCUCGCCGAUUAUUCAAGGCCGUUUUCUUCUCGGAAAACUAACGAUCUCUGGUGAGUUUUUUGCAGUUCUUGCCAUGUCUAAUUUCAAUUUUUUUUCGUUGUUUGGGUGUGGCUUUGCGAUGCGGUUUGAUUUUUGGUUUCAGGAAAAGUUAUCGAUGCGAUCUAAGGCUUUUUGCAAAAGAAGUUGUUUGAAUUUUGGCCUUUCUGUCUGCAACCUUGCAAGCUGUUUGCGAUCAAGGUUGUUCUAGACUUUGUCAACAGUGCAGAGUUGUCUUCGGCAGAGCUCGAUAGCAACUCUAGGUAAACAAGAGCUACUGGACUAUUAUGCACAGGGGAAUGGAAGGAAAGUAAAAAUUCAAGCUUUUAAUACAAAUUGGAAAUUGAGCGACACUAAACAAACGAUAGGUAAAACUGACAACUACUUUCUUUCCGUUUAAAUAUAAAUCAAUUGAUUAAGUCUGUGUUUUAAAAUGAAGUUUCAAUUGUUUCCAAAUUCUAACAACGAUCUCAUAUGCUUUAAGAUAAUCUAUUUAGAGUUUUGAUCCACUUUUAAUUACGCAGAAUUUCAAUUUUUUUUUCCAUAUAAAGUUUCCAUUUUUCUUGAGUACGAGAAGAAGCUUUAAUUUG